UGCGGGAUGCCGAAGUCGGGUUCCGCGAUAUGACCCUUGCUGAAAUUUUCAGGAGAAUACUCAUGAGC
rnacentral:sRNA from 1 species